rnacentral:rRNA from 1 species
GGUUGAUCCUGCCAGUAGUCAUAUGCUUGUCUCAAAGAUUAAGCCAUGCAUGUCUAAGUAUAAACUGCUUAUACUGUGAAACUGCGAAUGGCUCAUUAAAUCAGUUAUAGUUUAUUUGAUGGUACCUACUACUCGGAUAACCGUAGUAAUUCUAGAGCUAAUACGUGCGCAAAUCCCGACUUCUGGAAGGGACGUAUUUAUUAGAUAAAAGACCAGCCGGGCUCUGCCUGACUUUCGGUGAAUCAUGAUAACUUCACGAAUCGCACGGCCUCGCGCCGGCGAUGUUUCAUUC